rnacentral:rRNA from 1 species
UACAGAGGUCCCAAGCGUUGUUCGGAUUCCCUGGGCGUAAAGGGUGCGUAGGCGGUCGGGUAAGUCUGACGUGAAAUCUUCAAGCUCAACUUGGAAACUGCGUCCGAUACUAUUCGGCUAGAGGAAUGGAGGGGAGACUGGAACACUUGGUGUAGCAGUGAAAUGCGUAGAUAUCAAGUGGAACACCAGUGGCGAAGGCGAGUCUCUGGACAUUUCCUGACGCUGAGGCACGAAAGCCAGGGGAGCAAACGGG